AGCGGCGAACGGGUGAGUAACACGUGGAUAACCUGCCCUGAGGUGGGGGAUAACCCGGGGAAACUCGGGCUAAUACCGCAUGAUACCGAGAGGUCAAAGGGGGCUCGCAAGGGCUCUCGCCAUGGGAGGGGUCCGCGUCCGAUUAGCUAGUUGGCAGGGUAAUGGCCUACCAAGGCGACGAUCGGUAGCCGGCCUGAGAGGGUGAUCGGCCACACUGGAACUGAGACACGGUCCAGACUCCUACGGGAGGCAGCAGUGGGGAAUUUUGCGCAAUGGGCUAACGCCUGACGCAGCAACGCCGCGUGGAGGAUGAAGGUCUUUGGAUUGUAAACUCCUGUCAGCAGGGAAAAAGCGAGCCGGCCUAACAUGCCGGUGAGUUGAUUGUACCUGCAGAGGAAGCCCCGGCUAACUCUGUGCCAGCAGCCGCGGUAAUACAGAGGGGGCAAGCGUUAUUCGGAAUUAUUGGGCGUAAAGGGCGCGUAGGCGGCUUGGCAAGUGGAUGGUGAAAUCCCUCGGCUUAACCGAGGAACCGCCGUCCAAACUGCUUUGCUUGAGGCCGGGAGAGGCGAGUGGAAUUCCCAGUGUAGCGGUGAAAUGCGUAGAUAUUGGGAGGAACACCAGUGGCGAAGGCGGCUCGCUGGACCGGUUCUGACGCUGAGGCGCGAAAGCGUGGGGAGCAAACGGGAUUAGAUACCCCGGUAGUCCACGCUGUAAACGAUGAGUGCUUGGUGUAGCGGGUAUCGACCCCUGCUGUGCCGAAGUCAACACAUUAAGCACUCCGCCUGGGGAGUACGGUCGCAAGGCUGAAACUCAAAGGAAUUGACGGGGGCCCGCACAAGCGGUGGAGCAUGUGGUUCAAUUCGA
rnacentral:rRNA from 1 species